AUUGCUGCUUGGCCAUUGGGGCUAAGAGCAAGUGUAGUAUCUGUUCUUACCAUUUUAAUAUCUGGCAACUCUUCUAUCAGAGCAUAAUAUAUUAAAUGGAUUCUUAGAAUCAGAAGAUGGAAUAGGAACUUUAUCCAUCUCCCUCACACAUUGCCUUGAUACUUGCUGGAAUAGUUCAUGCUCU